rnacentral:rRNA from 1 species
UACGUAGGGGGCGAGCGUUGUCCGGAUUUAUUGGGCGUAAAGAGCUCGUAGGCGGUUCGAUAAGUCGGACGUGAAAUCUCCACGCUCAACGUGGAGGGGCCGUUCGAUACUGUCGUGACUCGAGUCCGGUAGGGGAGUGUGGAAUUCCCGGUGUAGCGGUGAAAUGCGCAGAGAUCGGGAGGAACACCCGUAGCGAAGGCGGCACUCUGGGCCGGUACUGACGCUGAGGAGCGAAAGCAUGGGGAGCGAACAGG